rnacentral:rRNA from 1 species
AGAGCGAACGCUGGCGGCAGGCUUAAUACAUGCAAGUCGAGCGCCUGUAGCAAUACAGGAGCGGCAGACGGGUGAGUAACGCGUGGGAACGUACCCUUUGGUUCGGAACAACACAGGGAAACUUGUGCUAAUACCGGAUAAGCCCUUACGGGGAAAGAUUUAUCGCCGAAGGAUCGGCCCGCGUCUGAUUAGCUAGUUGGUGAGGUAACGGCUCACCAAGGCGACGAUCAGUAGCUGGUCUGAGAGGAUGAUCAGCCACACUGGGACUGAGACACGGCCCAGACUCCUACGGGAGGCAGCAGUAGGGAAUAUUGGACAAUGGGGGCAACCCUGAUCCAGCCAUGCCGCGUGAGUGAUGAAGGCCUUAGGGUUGUAAAGCUCUUUGUGCGGGAAGAUAAUGACGGUACGCAAGAUAAGCCCGGCUAACUUCGUGCCAGCAGCCGC